rnacentral:lncRNA from 13 species
CAACAAAAACUUACAGUAACAGUAGCCGAAGAGAAAAUGGUUUGGAAUCCCAGUUCUGGGGUUUACUCAUCAAUGCGUUGGACAAGUCAUUUACCCUCUCUGAAUCUCAGUUUUCUUAUUUUAAUAUGGAGAUGACACCAAUAAUGCAUUUGCUGUGCAAUUGUGAAGAAUAAAUGAGAUAAUUUAUCCACGGAGCAUAGUGACACAGGGCCACCUGCAUUCCUUGGUUUAUGACCCCUUCCUCCAUCCUCAAAACCAGCAACAGCAGAUCCUUUAUCUCACAUCCCCUGCUCCUUCUUCCAUCCUCGGAUUCCUCUCUCUCAGCCAGAAACCUUCGCUUCUGUUAGGACUCAAGAGGAUUAAACUCACCUGGAUAGUACAGGAAACUCUGCAUAUCUCAAAGUCUGCCCCCUUCAACACAUUUGCCAUAUAA